AUGUAGGGCAAUUUGUCUUUAAGUAGGGAUAAAUUAGUCUAAAAAAAAAAGGAAUCCUAGAUAGUUUUUCCUUCAAGUCAAGAAGCCUGU
rnacentral:pre_miRNA from 1 species